GACGAACGCUGGCGGCGUGCUUAACACAUGCAAGUCGAACGGAAAGGCCCUGCUUUUGUGGGGUGCUCGAGUGGCGAACGGGUGAGUAACACGUGAGUAACCUGCCCUUGACUUUGGGAUAACUUCAGGAAACUGGGGCUAAUACCGGAUAGGAGCUCCUGCUGCAUGGUGGGGGUUGGAAAGUUUCGGCGGUUGGGGAUGGACUCGCGGCUUAUCAGCUUGUUGGUGGGGUAGUGGCUUACCAAGGCUUUGACGGGUAGCCGGCCUGAGAGGGUGACCGGCCACAUUGGGACUGAGAUACGGCCCAGACUCCUACGGGAGGCAGCAGUGGGGAAUAUUGCACAAUGGGCGGAAGCCUGAUGCAGCAACGCCGCGUGCGGGAUGACGGCCUUCGGGUUGUAAACCGCUUUCGCCUGUGACGAAGCGUGAGUGACGGUAAUGGGUAAAGAAGCACCGGCUAACUACGUGCCAGCAGCCGCGGUGAUACGUAGGGUGCGGGCGUUGUCCGGAUUUAUUGGGCGUAAAGGGCUCGUAGGUGGUUGAUCGCGUCGGAAGUGUAAUCUUGGGGCUUAACCCUGAGCGUGCUUUCGAUACGGGUUGACUUGAGGAAGGUAGGGGAGAAUGGAAUUCCUGGUGGAGCGGUGGAAUGCGCAGAUAUCAGGAGGAACACCAGUGGCGAAGGCGGUUCUCUGGGCCUUUCCUGACGCUGAGGAGCGAAAGCGUGGGGAGCGAACAGGCUUAGAUACCCUGGUAGUCCACGCUGUAAACGGUGGGUACUAGGUGUGGGGUCCAUUCCACGGGUUCCGUGCCGUAGCUAACGCUUUAAGUACCCCGCCUGGGGAGUACGGCCGCAAGGCUAAAACUCAAAGGAAUUGACGGGGCCCCGCACAAGCGGCGGAGCAUGCGGAUUAAUUCGAUGCAACGCGUAGAACCUUACCUGGGUUUGACAUGGAUCGGGAGUGCUCAGAGAUGGGUGUGCCUCUUUUGGGGUCGGUUCACAGGUGGUGCAUGGCUGUCGUCAGCUCGUGUCGUGAGAUGUUGGGUUAAGUCCCGCAACGAGCGCAACCCUUGUUCACUGUUGCCAGCACGUUAUGGUGGGGACUCAGUGGAGACCGCCGGGGUCAACUCGGAGGAAGGUGGGGAUGACGUCAAGUCAUCAUGCCCCUUAUGUCCAGGGCUUCACGCAUGCUACAAUGGCUGGUACAGAGAGUGGCGAGCCUGUGAGGGUGAGCGAAUCUCGGAAAGUCGGUCUCAGUUCGGAUUGGGGUCUGCAACUCGACCUCAUGAAGUCGGAGUCGCUAGUAAUCGCAGAUCAGCAACGCUGCGGUGAAUACGUUCCCGGGGC
rnacentral:rRNA from 1 species